CUGCAAUCUUGAUGAUAAUUAUCGGAAGCUUAAUUUGCAUAAUUGCCUGUUUCGGAUGCUGCGGAGAGAUUCCGGUAUCGCUAAACAUAAUGACAACAAUUAAUUUAUACUGUGCAGUCAUCUUGCUGGUUGUUUUUGUUACUCUAAUCGUUGGCGGAAUUUUGGCACUUCUAUGUCAAGAUAAAUUGGAUACGUACCUUAAAAAGUCAUUGCGCGAUCAGAUGAAUUUAUAUGUGCAAGAAGGAAAUGAAGCUGAAUUCGCUCGGAAAUACUGGGACUCGAUCCAAAUCCAGUUUGAGUGUUGUGGAGUUGAUGGACCCCUUGACUGGACCAUGAUGACCCCUAAAAUACCGUUGCCACCAGCUUCAUGUAGUUGCGACGCAAUUUUGACCAGUGAAUGCGUCGCUGGUGUUUACAUAAAUGGAUGCUUCUCGAAACUAAGCGAGUGGAUGAGGAUGACUCAAAACAUACUUGGUGGUGUUGCUAUUGGACUUGCAGUAGUCGAGUUUAUAGCCGUGAUCUCCAUCCUAGCGAUUGCCAUCCGUGAUAGUUAUAACAAUAUUUAGUACGAUAUUUUUAUUUUGCAAUAGGAAUAAUGACCAGAGAUUACUAUUUUUGAUUUGUAUUUAAUUAAAUCAAAAUGAAAGCACGGUUGUAAAGUACCUCCA